rnacentral:sRNA from 1 species
ACAGUGUACAAAGGUCUGAGCCCGUUUGUGCUUGCACAAGAACGGGCGUAAGAUCUUGGUACACGCCCCGGCAUGAGCAUAAAAGCGGAGCGAAUGCUUCGCGAUAUGCGAAUGUCGAGGUGGGAUUGUGGGAGUGCAACGCACGGAGCAAUCC